GAUCAACGCUGGCGGCGCACAUAAGACAUGCAAGUUGAACGGACUUAAUCGAAAUAUUUCUAUUUUGAAGCGGUUAGUGGCGGACUGGUGAGUAACGCGUAAGGAACCUGCCUAUUAGAGGGGAAUAACAGUGAGAAAUCAUUGCUAAUACCGCAUAUGCCAUAGAUAUCACAUGAUAACAGUGGGAAAGGAGCAAUCCGCUAAUAGAUGGCCUUGCGUCUGAUUAGAUAGUUGGCGGGGUAACGGCCUACCAAGUCGACGAUCAGUAGCCGGACUGAGAGGUUGAACGGCCACAUUGGGACUGAGAUACGGCCCAGACUCCUACGGGAGGCAGCAGUCGGGAAUAUUGCGCAAUGGAGGAAACUCUGACGCAGUGACGCCGCGUAUAGGAAGAAGGUUUUCGGAUUGUAAACUAUUGUCGUUAGGGAAGAGAAAGGACAGUACCUAAGGAGGAAGCUCCGGCUAACUACGUG
rnacentral:rRNA from 1 species